rnacentral:sRNA from 12 species
CCUUCGGACUGUCAGACAAACCUUAGUAGCUUAGGCCAACAGGGACAGGUUGAACAAGGAA